AUUGAACGCUGGCGGCAGGCUUAACACAUGCAAGUCGAGCGAGCGGCGGACGGGUGAGUAAUGUAUGGGAACCUGCCUGAUGGAGGGGGAUAACUACUGGAAACGGUGGCUAAUACCGCAUACACUUAGAGGUGCCCAGAUGGGAUUAGCUAGUAGGUGGGGUAAUGGCUCACCUAGGCGACGAUCCAUAGCUGGUCUGAGAGGAUGACCGGCCACACUGGAACGGAGACACGUUCCAGACUCCUACGCGAGGCAGCAGUGGGGAAUAUUGCACAAUGGGCGCAAGCCUGAUGCAGCCAUGCCGCGUGUGUGAAGAAGGCCUUCGGGUUGUAAAGCACUUUCAGCGAGGAGGCGGUACUCGCAGAAGAAGCACCGGCUAACUCCGUGCCAGCAGCCGCGGUAAUUC
rnacentral:rRNA from 1 species